CUCCGGGUUUUUCUCUCUCUCUCUGCCGGAUCGUCUCUGAUGCAGCUGUGUGCUAGCCUCCUGCUAUGGGCUAUGCUGUUUUUUAGUCUGAGAGAGCCAGAUAUUCAAAGUCUAGUCACUUUUAUCGUCAGAGCAGAGAGCGAGCCUUUCCUUUUUUUGCCGUGGGUAGAUGAGUGGACCGUGUGUUUUGCAACAGAAGCGGAGGAGAACUGGAACCCUGAACUGAUGAGAGCCGUGUAUUGUGCCCUGUGCCCGGAGUGAGUGUGUGUAUAUGAACCGUGAGCCUCUGGUGAGUAACUUUUACUGAAGUUAGUCUGAUAAAUGGAGUGAAAUGUGUUGUUUCUGCUAAUGUUAAUAUGGAUCAAUGAGGCAUUAUUUUUAUGAAUGUGGUGGUUAAGAAAAAAAA